rnacentral:rRNA from 1 species
UACGAGGGGGGCAAGCGUUGUUCGGAAUUAUUGGGCGUAAAGGGCGCGUAGGCGGUUUGACAAGUCUGAUGUGAAAUCUCUGGGCUCAACCCCAGAGUCUGCAUUAGAAACUGUCGGGCUUGAGUAUGGGAGAGGUGAGUGGAAUUUCCGGUGUAGCGGUGAAAUGCGUAGAUAUCGGAAGGAACACCUGUGGCGAAAGCGGCUCACUGGACCAUAACUGACGCUGAGGCGCGAAAGCUAGGGGAGCAAACAGG